GAUGAACGCUGGCGGCGUGCCUAAUACAUGCAAGUCGAGCGAACAGACGAGGAGCUUGCUCCUCUGACGGUAACGGCGGACGUGUUAGUAACACGUGGAUAACCUACCUAUAAGACUGGGAUAAAUUCGGCAAACCGGAGCUAGUACCAGGUAAUAUAUUGCACCUCAUGGUUCAAGAGUGAAAGACGGUUGUGCGUGCACUUAUAGAUGGCUCCGCGUCGCAUUAGCUUGUUGGUAAUGUAACGGCUUACCCAGGCAGCGAUGCGAAGCCGACCCGAGAGAGUGAUACACCACAUCGGCAGGGAGGCAGGGUCCAGACUCUUACGCGAGGCACCAGUAGGGACUCGUCCGCAAUGGGCGAAAGGCUGACGAAGCAACGUCGCGUGAAUGAUGAUGCUCUUAGGACCCUAAAACGCAGUUAUUAGGGAAAAACAAAUGUGCAAGUGACUAUGCACGUGUUGACGGUACCCAAACAGAAAGCCACGGCUAACUACGUG
rnacentral:rRNA from 1 species